rnacentral:rRNA from 1 species
GGUGAACGCUAGCUACAGGCUUAACACAUGCAAGUCGAGGGGCAGCGGGGAGGAUGCUUGCAUUCUCUGCCGGCGACCGGCGCACGGGUGAGUAACGCGUACCGAACCUGCCUCAUACUCGGGAAUAGCCUUGCGAAAGUAAGAUUAAUGCCCGGUGUUCCGCGAGGGCCGCAUGGCCUUUUCGGCAAAGUUUUUUACGGUAUGAGAUGGCGGUGCGUCCCAUUAGCUUGUUGGUGGGGUAAUGGCUCACCAAGGCAUCGAUGGGUAGGGGUUCUGAGAGGAAGGUCCCCCACAUUGGAACUGAGACACGGUCCAA